rnacentral:SRP_RNA from 1 species
GUCAGGCAUGGUGGCGGGUGCCUGUAAUCCCAGCUACUUGGAGACUGAGGCAGGAGAAUUGCUUGAACCCAGGAGGCCGAGGUUGUAGUGAACUGAGAUUGCGCCACUGCACUCCAGUCUGGGUGACACAGCAAGACUCCGUCUCAA